GAUCAACGCUGGCGGCGUGCCUAACGCAUGUAAGUCGUGCGGGCUGCCUUCGGGCAGCCAGCGGCGAACGGCUGAGGAACACGUACGAACCUGCCCGCGCGUGGGAAUAACGCGCCGAAAGGCGUGCUAAUACCGCGUACGCUCCGCCCACUCGGGCGGAGGAAAGCCGCAAGGCGCGCGCGGAGGGCGUGGCGGCCCAUCAGGUGGUUGGUGCGGUAAUGGCGCACCAAGCCGUU
rnacentral:rRNA from 1 species